UUUCAUCCGCCAGGCAGAGGGGAGGGGAGGGCAAGUGCCGAGUGCAGAUAAUUACUUCAGAUGGCAGCAUGAGCCUGGGUAUCCGGGUGAGCACUUGAAAUGUCAAAGCCAUGCAGCAAACCCUCCACAAACACCAAUUUGACACUUUCACCCCUCUUGUUACAAGCAGAGAUCUGAAACAUCUAAGCAGGUGUGUCACUUUAUUUUUAUUUUUUUAAGCGAAGGGAGAACAGCCAGUUCAUUUGCAUGAUCUCUAGCAGUUCUUUUCCAACGGAGCCAGACAGAGAUACAUGUUUAAGUGGUUGUCAUGGAAACCAGAGAGCAUUGCUCUCCCUCAAGGUCUGAAAGAAGGAUGAUGAAAAGUUUAAGCAAUCACCAUGGAAACGUAGAGGAGAUACAAGGCGGGUUCAGAUCCCAGCACACUAACAGAUCAGUCUUCAGGUGCUGAGGUCCUGGUGGAAGGUGAAUUCUGACUAUUCACUGUGGCUUCCAGAAUCAGGGCUGACCCAGAGGCCACAUCCACAGUCAUGGGCUCAGAGCAUCCCAGGGGCUCAGCAGUGAGUUUCCUCAGCAUGGCAGAAGCCCACAGAUCUGCUGUCACAAAGUGGAACCCUGCUCAGGUCUGCAGGAGAAAAGACAUUCGAAGCCCAGCCUGGUCUUUCUCUGGUCUUGACCAAGAUGUGUUCCCUUUCAUGUCUGUGAAUAACCAAAAGAAGCAAGAGGUUCCUGCCUCCCAUCACUGGAAGAAACUGAGGCACAGAAAGAUAUUAAAGAACUUGCCAAAGUUACUAAGCAGCAGGUUCAGGAUUCAAGCCCAGGAAGCCUGGAUGGCAGCUUGAAGCAUUCUUAACAGAUAAGUGUACACAGCAGUCUACAAUGGAUGUUCUCAUAGCUUAACAAAUGACAGAACUGUGGAACUGUUUAGAGCUUGGAGGGAUCCUUUGAGAUGACCUUGAAAAUAUCAGAAUAGAUGGUACCUGGAACGGUGAUCAUGCAUGUGAUAGGUGUAUGUAUCACUGAAGCCUGCAGGUAAGAUGCUUUUAUACAUACUGUCAGCAAUUACAGAAGUACACUGGAUUUCCCAAAGCUGUUUCAAUAUUGCUUUUUUCCUCUGGUAAUUAUUUUCUCAUUUAAUCAGUUACGUCUUAGUAAAGUUCCCUCUGCACUGUUUGCUAGUAUGGUAGUAUAUUUUUUCAUUUAAAUUGCUCAUUACUUUUGACUCCUUUUUCAAGUAUUAAAUUUGUAAAUUUCAAUACAUCAAAAGUUAUUUCUUGAGAAUCUUCUGCUAUGGUGGCCCUAUCAGAACAAUGGGAGAGACCCUUUAAAUUGGCCAUUGGGCAGCACUCCCACUCACUUUGGCUAUAACCCCUGCUGGACUGUCUCAUAUUGUAGAGGGUGAGAGAGUAUCCAUGUCAAGACUCAGUUUCUUUCCAAAUGAUAGGUGCAUCUUUGCCUGAUGAAACUUUUCACUGCUGAGUUUUCUUGAACUUUCCAUCCAAAGCUCCUCAUCUCCUACCCCCAAGCCAAAAAAGUCAGAGAGCUAUAGACUGAGCUGAUUUCAAAUUUCAGAACUCACAAGACCCAUUACUCAUUUUGUGUCUGCUUUCAGAUCACAGGCACUUCACAAACCAAUCCAACUGCCUGACACUCUCCAUUUGCCCGUGGUAUUGUUUUUUAAGAUUUAUAUUAUGGUUUAGAUUCACUGGCUUCUAUUACAAAACCCCAAUGAAUCUGAUCUCACUGGUUAAUGGAACUUCUCUCUUUAAAAAGUAAUUUUCAAGAAGCAGUUGAAAAAGCCUGCUAUUGUUACUUUAUGAAGUGUCUGUUCUCCAACAAUAAAAAAGAUAACAAGCACGUCUCCUCCUCGGCAUGCACAUUUCUCUGUGGUACUUUGAGAAUCCUUCAACUCACUUGUUCUGUCAAUUAAUCUUCUCUCGUUUAAAUUUCCCUCAAAUAAAAAUUUUUUGGACCCACUUUGAUUCACCUCUCCAUAAUACCAUUCAUCAUCUGUGUUACCUUUCUCCGGAUACAUUUAAUCUCUGGGAAGGAAAUUUCAUGGCAGAAAAUGGGGCAGAAGUGAAAACCUGGCCAAGUUUUCAGACUUAGAUUAAGAAGAUGGUCAUGGUGAUCAGCCAUUAGAGGUACUGACUUUAAAACAUACUUCAUACUUUAAGAGAUAAAGCUUGAGGAAAAGCCUUUAAACUCCUUGGAAUUACUGCUUGGAAACACGGAUUCAGUCUCCUGUGCACAGAUUAAUUGCUGGGGAUGAAGUCUCUAAAAAAGGAUUUGAUUGUAAUUUAUAGUUCAUUCUGAUAAUCAUUUCUGUGUAAAUUUUCUUAAUUCAGAGGAGACUCAUACUAUGUUUUUUAAAAUCUCUACCAUGCAUAAAGCAGAUAGAUUUAUUGGGAUACUUAUGACAAAAGCUGUUCUUUUUUGAAGGCAUCUAUGGGGCGAUUUAAAUAGUCUUUCCUCUAUCAGUUUUUCAUCUACUCUGAAAUCAGUUUGGUUAGGUCUGGAUCAACAGUUCUGCAUGGUGUAGGCUUGAUGAAUUUGAGUACAUUUAUGUCAUCAGCCAGUUGUUCACCUCAGACUUCAUCUUUCAGCUUGUCAGAAAAAUAACCUAACACUUAUCCAGGCACCAGUACAAAAUGCCAAGGAAGCAGGGACCGGAGGAGGCCGUCACUGCAAAUGAAACCUCAAGUCCCCUGCUCCAGGGUCCCUGAGAGGUAAUGAAGUGUGGCAUCUUUCCAUACUUCGAGGGCAUGGCAUCACGGCUCUGUGGCUGUGGAAGGCCUAUUCACGCUUGCUCCUAACAGAUACACAGGGAAACUGUUUCACUCUGCCCAUGUGGAGGGGUAGGGGUAGGGGUAGGGGUGUCUAUUACAGGGCAAAGCUAUGACAAAUUCAUGCCCCUUCACCCAGAUGCAACUAAAGGAUAAUGUGAAUUGUCCUGCUGUGACCCUUUAGAAGGAGUAAUUCCUGGAAUUAUUACCAGUACCUUUUCUUUUCCAUUCCUCUCCCAAAGGUGUCCUUGUAUUAUAUCUUUGAGCAAAUGAAUGAACAUCUCUUCUCAAAGUGAAACAAGUAAUGCCAAGUGAAUCUCAGCCAGGAGAAGGUUUAGUGACUCAGAACUCUGUUCUCACUGUGCUCUGUGCAAGGGAUCUUCUCUAAGACUUGGAUGAACACAGAGAAAUACUGUUAAAUUUACUGAUGACACAAAGGUGAGAGAGGGGGAGACGGAGAGAGAGGGAGAUAAUUUACUGGAUGGUAUUAUUAGCAUUUAAAAUUAUUUUAACCAAAAAGAAUAAGAAUGCAAAAAAAAAAAAAA